UGCGCGUUUACAUCUAAUAAAUCAAGCUUCUUCCAUUUCAAUCCUGAAUUGUACCUUUAAUGAAUGUCCUGCCAUAUACAGUACUGUGCACCUAAGCCAACAUUAGGUUUGUUGGUUUAAUAAAGUUCUAAUGACCACACAUGUAUUUCUCAGUCUGUGUAUUAAGAUACAGUCUGGAUAUAUGGGAUGUAUGUACAGCAGGAAAAGUGACUUGACAGUCAAAUCUAUCAUUAACUGAAUAUAAACCCAGUGU